CGAUGAACCGCCUUCGGGUGGGGAUUAGUGGCGAACGGGUGAGUAACACGUGGGCAAUCUGCCCUGCACUCUGGGACAAGCCCUGGAAACGGGGUCUAAUACCGGAUACUGACCUGCCGAGGCAUCUCGGCGGGUCGAAAGCUCCGGCGGUGCAGGAUGAGCCCGCGGCCUAUCAGCUUGUUGGUGAGGUAAUGGCUCACCAAGGCGACGACGGGUAGCCGGCCUGAGAGGGCGACCGGCCACACUGGGACUGAGACACGGCCCAGACUCCUACGGGAGGCAGCAGUGGGGAAUAUUGCACAAUGGGCGCAAGCCUGAUGCAGCGACGCCGCGUGAGGGAUGACGGCCUUCGGGUUGUAAACCUCUUUCAGCAGGGAAGAAGCGAGAGUGACGGUACCUGCAGAAGAAGCGCCGGCUAACUACGUGCCAGCAGCCGCGGUAAUACGUAGGGCGCAAGCGUUGUCCGGAAUUAUUGGGCGUAAAGAGCUCGUAGGCGGCUUGUCGCGUCGGUUGUGAAAGCCCGGGGCUUAACCCCGGGUCUGCAGUCGAUACGGGCAGGCUAGAGUUCGGUAGGGGAGAUCGGAAUUCCUGGUGUAGCGGUGAAAUGCGCAGAUAU
rnacentral:rRNA from 1 species